rnacentral:rRNA from 1 species
UACGGAGGGUGCAAGCGUUAAUCGGAAUUACUGGGCGUAAAGCGCACGCAGGCGGUCUGUCAAGUCGGAUGUGAAAUCCCCGGGCUCAACCUGGGAACUGCAUCCGAAACUGGCAGGCUAGAGUCUUGUAGAGGGGGGUAGAAUUCCAGGUGUAGCGGUGAAAUGCGUAGAGAUCUGGAGGAAAACCGGUGGCGAAGGCGGCCCCCUGGACAAAGACUGACGCUCAGGUGCGAAAGCGUGGGGAGCAACCAGGAUUAGCUCCCCUGGUAGUCCACGCCGUAAACGAUGUCGACUUGGAGGUUGUGCCCUUGAGGCGUGGCUUCCGGAGCUAACGCGUUAAGUCGCCCGCCUGGGGAGUACGGCCGCAAGGUUAAA